GGCAGAAGUCACCUGAGUCAGGAGAAAUAUAUAGUCAAUAGAAAUAGACCCCAAGAUGAAACAACUAUUGAAAUUAAAAGAAAUGUUCUUUGUAGCUUCUAAAACUAUGCUUGGAAUAUGAAAAUCAUACAUCAUAAUGAUGGCACAUAAGAGGAAUCUCAGCAAAGUAAACUGAAAGUAAGAUAAAUGGAAACACAACUACUCUUAGAUAUAUUCUGGCAAAAUUACUAAAAAUCAAAGAUAGAGAAAAUGCCUCAAAAGCACCCAGAAAAAAAAUUACUUCUAGGCAAUCAAUGGUAGAAAAAAAUGCAAGGCAGAAUUCAACGGAUCAACAUUUUUUACAUGCUAAAAAUGUUAACCAGAAAUUCUAUACCCAGUGAAAUUACCUCACAAAAAUAAAGGCAAAAUAGCAAUUUCUGGAUAUGGAUGAAAAAUGAAAGAAUAUAUUGCUUCACCCAGUUCAAGAAAUGCAAAAAGGAGUUAAUUCUUCAGACUGAAAGGAUAUGGCACAACGUGAAAUUCUAAGCUAUAAAAGGAAUGAGGAACACCAAAAAUGAUGUAUCCAUGGAGAUCCUAGAGAUUAAAAUGUGCAUUCUGGAUCUAUUCAGGAUGCCAUAAUAUGUCUCUGAAGGAAAAAUGGGUACCAGAAAUAACUACGGAGACCUAUUUGAGUCAGCUUUUGAGCUACUCAAGGUAAGAAACUUUUUAAGAGAUGC